GGUUCAGGAUGAACGCUAGCUACAGGCUUAACACAUGCAAGUCGAGGGGCAGCAUUGUCGAAGCUUGCUUUGACAGAUGGCGACCGGCGCACGGGUGAGUAACGCGUAUCCAACUUCCCCAUAGUAGGGCAUAGCCCGUAGAAAUGCGGAUUAAUACCCUAUGUAUUCCGAGGAUGACAUCUGAUUCGGAACAAAGGUUCACCGCUAUGGGAUGGGGAUGCGUCUGAUUAGGUAGUAGGCGGGGUAACGGCCCACCUAGCCGACGAUCAGUAGGGUUCUGAGAGGAAGGUCCCCCACAUUGGAACUGAGACACGGUCCAAACUCCUACGGGAGGCAGCAGUGAGGAAUAUUGGUCAAUGGGCGAGAGCCUGAACCAGCCAAGUAGCGUGCAGGAUGACGGCCCUAUGGGUUGUAAACUGCUUUUAUACAGGGAUAAAGUCGGGGACGCGUUCCCCGUUUGCAGGUACUGUAUGAAUAAGGACCGGCUAAUUCCGUGCCAGCCGCAGC
rnacentral:rRNA from 1 species